CACAGGUGCAACUGGAUUAAAGCUUUCACCCAGGGAGGGCAGGAUCACCGCAUUUCAGCCUGACUCAACCAAUACUGGAUGAAUUACCAUAGGAUUCUGUGCAGACAUCCAUGGUAACCAGACGAUGAAUUCUCAUGGUAAUCAUCUGACUUGCAUCUGACUUCCUACAACGCCACCAUGAGAUUGAAAUUCGCAGAUGCGCCACUCCAGUAGUGAACACCUCCGACAUGGACAGUCUCCUGUUGUGUGGUACAAGUGUGAAAGAGAAACUCUGGCCAGUGUCAGAACCUGAUUCUUUGGACAUUGUCUGGAGUUCAUAUGAAUAAACAGC